UUAAGUUCAGCGGGUAUCCCUACCUGAUCCGAGGUCAACCAUAGAAAAAUUGGGGGUUUUGGCAAGUCUCCACCGGGACCCUAUAGCGAGAGAAAUUACUACGCUUAGAGCCAGAUGGCACCGCCACUGAUUUUAAGGGCUGCCGGUGGGCAGGCCCCAACACCAAGCUGAGCUUGAGGGUUUAAAUGACGCUCGAACAG
rnacentral:misc_RNA from 1 species